CCUACGGGAGGCAGCAGUGAGGAAUAUUGGUCAAUGGACGUAAGUCUGAACCAGCCAAGUAGCGUGCAGGAUGACGGCCCUAUGGGUUGUAAACUGCUUUUAUGUGAGAAUAAAGUUAACUACGUGUAGUUAUUUGCAUGUAUCACAUGAAUAAGGACCGGCUAAUUCCGUGCCAGCAGCCGCGGUAAUACGGAAGGUCCAGGCGUUAUCCGGAUUUAUUGGGUUUAAAGGGAGCGUAGGCCGUUUGGUAAGCGUGCUGUGAAAUUUAGGGGCUCAACCUCUACCGUGCAGCGCGAACUGUCAGACUUGAGUGCGUAGUAGGUAGGCGGAAUUCGUGGUGUAGCGGUGAAAUGCUUAGAUAUCACGAAGAACUCCGAUUGCGAAGGCAGCUUACCGUAUCGCAACUGACGCUGAUGCUCGAAGGUGCGGGUAUCGAACAGGAUUAGAUACCCGGGUAGUC
rnacentral:rRNA from 1 species